CGGAUUGCAGGCUGCAACCCGCCUGCAUGAAGCCGGAAUCGCUAGUAAUCGCGGAUCAGAAUGCCGCGGUGAAUACGUUCCCGGGUCUUGUACACACCGCCCGUCACACCAUGGGAGUCGGAAAUGCCCGAAGUCUGUGACCCAACCUACGGGAGGGAGCAGCCGAAGGCAGGUCGGAUGACUGGGGUGAAGUCGUAACAAGGUAUC
rnacentral:rRNA from 1 species